UACGGAGGGUGCAAGCGUUAUCCGGAUUCACUGGGCUUAAAGGGAGCGCAGGCGGAUUGGUAAGUCAGUGGUGAAAGCCUUAAGCUUAACUUGGGAACUGCCAUUGAUACUAUCAGUCUUGAAUAUUGUUGAGGUUGGCGGAAUGGGUCGUGUAGCGGUGAAAUGCAUAGAUAUGAGGCGGAACACCGAUUGCGAAGGCAGCAGGCUGAACAAAGAUUGACGCUGAGGCUCGAAAGCGUGGGGAUCAAACAGG
rnacentral:rRNA from 1 species